rnacentral:rRNA from 1 species
AGCGAACGCUGGCGGCAUGCUUAACACAUGCAAGUCGCACGGGUGGGUUUCGGCCCAUCAGUGGCGGACGGGUGAGUAACGCGUAGGGAUCUAUCCAUGGGUGGGGGACAACCGCGGGAAACCGCGGCUAAUACCGCAUGACGACUCUGGUUUAGGCCGGGGUCCAAAGCCUGUGAGGGCGCCUGUGGCGGAGCCUGCGUCCGAUUAGCUUGUUGGUGGGGUAAUGGCUCACCAAGGCGUCGAUCGGUAGCUGGUCUGAGAGGAUGGCCAGCCACAC